AGUCAACAAAAUGUUUAAAUAAGCUGACCUUCGAGGAAAUGCCAUGACCUAACCACGUGGCCCCAGAUAUGCCAUGUAAUUUCAAGGACAUAGCACAUUCAAUCCCAGACCAAGCAUCUCAACAAAUUGUUAUAUUUGCUUCAAAGCCCAUUGUAUCGAGCUGAUGCAGGGUUCCUUCAAUCAAGUCUGGAAGUUGCUCCUCUUGGUCUGAGAAACUGUCAGAGCCAAGUGGACUCUAAGGAGACCUAAUAGCUAAAUGUGAAGCACAUUGGGAUAGUGGAACAGAAAAGGACAUUAUAUUAAUGAAACCUGAAGAAAAUAGAGACUUUAAUCACUAAUGUAUCAAGGGGUUCCCAUCAUGGCUCAGCGGAAAUGAAUCCG